UAUUGGUUGAUAUCGGAAAUAAUGAUCGAUCAAUAAAUUAUUUCAAAAUAAAAUUCCUUUCUUUUGAAAGAGGAUCGAUGGGGUAAUGUAACCGUUCGGUUCCAAUGAACAGCUUGUUGGCUCCACCACAAGUCCCCAUCCAAUUUCCCUCCCUGAUGACGACCCUGAAAACCGACAAAAAACAAUAAGACAUGUCUCACUCCUUGUGCAUGGAAAUGACAACGAGUGAGAAUUCCAUUUCCACGUCACACCAAAUUGACAGAUAACAAAAGCGAGCAGUUUGAGUUAAGGCAAAAGAGACCCAGCCCUGUUACUGUUAAACUCACUCAUAGAGGGUGCGACGAUACAACACGGUGGGCAUGCAAAGCAUAAAUUUAAAUGUACUAUGCAACAAAAAUUAUGAUAAUUCAUUUUGUAUAUAAAAGAAGGAGUCUCGGCAGAAUCGUUCUCUUUUCUGUGUGAUCCUCGAACGAAAUUGUAGUGCGCGCGUGUGUAGAGUUCAUUUAUUAGAGGAAUCAUUUCAAAUCUGCUAUAAGUACUUAGUAAAAGAAAGUAGUUAGUAGAAUUAACGAGAUAUGUUUGUGAGUUCAAAGUGUUAAUGUGGUUAGUAUUGUUAGACCCUUAAGUGUUAACCUAAAACUAAUGUGAACCUAAAUUAUAGUAUCCUAUGCUAAAAUAAUUACCACACAAACGAAGAACAAAAACAUCCAAUUAGCCAGAAAUCUAAAGAAAAAGGCCCGAACAAAGGGCCUUUUUCUUCUUGUUCUUCUCCGAGUAUUUCGCAGCACUGAUGUCCGGCAAGAUCGCCGAUAGGCAGCCAGGAGGAUUGGGUACACGGGUAUCGAGUGAACGAAAUGACGGGCGGCCAUCUUGCAAAAUUGCCGAUCGGAGCCGAUACUCGUUCCGCCACCAUCUCAACUGUAGCGGACAGUUCCACGGCCGCUGGUAACCGUCUUCCGUCAAACCAACAGCAUGCACGAGCAACGAAUCCCAAUAUUCGUCGUGUCACCUACUCCGAUACUCCGUCGUCUUCUCCGGUCUGCAAUCCGGCAGCCAAAUCCAGUCUGCCAUCCGACAUCCACUCGGUGUUGCAAUCCAGCAGCCAAUCUUCGCUAGUAAUCCUGUGAGCAACGCUAGAUGGUGAUCCCACCGUCCACAAAUCAG